GAUGAACGCUAGCGGCAGGCUUAACACAUGCAAGUCGAGGGGCAGCACGAGUAGCAAUAUUUGGUGGCGACCGGCGCACGGGUGAGUAACGCGUAUGCAAUCUACCUUUAACUGGGGGAUAGCUCCGAGAAAUCGGAAUUAAUACCCCAUAAUAUUAUUGAAAGACAUCUUUUAAUAAUUAAAGUUCCGACGGUUAGAGAUGAGCAUGCGUGCCAUUAGUUUGUUGGUAGGGUAACGGCCUACCAAGACUACGAUGGCUAGGGGGUCUGAGAGGAUGAUCCCCCACACUGGUACUGAGACACGGACCAGACUCCUACGGGAGGCAGCAGUGAGGAAUAUUGGUCAAUGGGCGCAAGCCUGAACCAGCCAUGCCGCGUGAAGGAUGAAUGCCCUAUGGGUUGUAAACUUCUUUUGUACGGGACGAAACCCCUGAACGUGUUCGGGGCUGACGGUACUGUACGAAUAAGCAUCGGCUAACUCCGUGCCAGCAGCCGCGGUAAAAC
rnacentral:rRNA from 1 species